GCACUCCAGCUGGCCCAGUUGGUGUGUGCGUGGUACUUAUAAGUAGUGUAGGAGUAUAUGCGAAGGUGGAGGGUUCGAUCCCCUCCGAGAGCA